rnacentral:lncRNA from 1 species
AAAAACAAAGAAAAGAAGUAAGAAAGGAACAAGCUAUGACAUUUGCGGCGGUAUUUAAUUGAACACCGAGUUAUCACUCAUGAUCAUCUUAAUGAAGAUAAAAUAAGAAUUUUUAUUUAUUUUAUUCUUUAUUCAGUGUUCAGUGUCCGCAUUGGAGUCUUGAUUAAUUCGAAUCGCUUAUUGUAGAGCCUAUUCUAGGGGUGACGCUCCCAACAGAAUUUUCUUCACACCCAAACUCAAAUCCAAGACUUCUGAUUUAAUAUGAAAUAGUUUCACUCAUGUUCGCGAAAUUUAAUAGUAUUAAAUUAUAGCUAAAGAUUCUUUUUAGGAUAAACAUUAAAAAGGAAAAUGUGUGCAAAAAAGUUGUCUAUUUGUUCAAAUUAUUAUCGAUAAUAUUUUACAAGAAUAAAACAUUAUACUUCUGGCAUAUAUAAGACAAACAAUUUCAUUUACUUCAUCACUCAAAUUAAUGGUCAAAACACAUCAGCAACUUUCGUAGAGCAAUAGGGGUGGAUUUAUGAUUUAAAUAUCAUGAACUUUAAUUCUAGAAUAAUGAUUUUAAAUUUUAGUAAUUGAGUAAUGAGUUUCAACUUUCAUAAAAUAAUAGAGGUAGAUUUAUAAUUUAAAUAUUACGAAUUUUUAACUCUAAAACAAUGACUUAAAUUUUAGUAACUGAAUUUUUAGUUUCAUUUAUAUUCAAUGAAUUGUUUUAUUACACAUACAAGGUUUGAAUGACCCCUAUAGUCAAGCCUAUAUCAACCAAAGUGAAACAAGAAAAAGAGGACACUAAAGCUUUCGUUUGAUCAUAUAUUUUGGAAGUACAUUUUCAUAAACAAUUUAAAAAUAUUAUUUGUUCAUGAAAUUUGACCUGUUUUUGAAAAUAUAUCUUCAAAAAUAUUUCAAGUUCCAAAUAUUGGUCCGAACUAGUUACAAGAUGAAUUUUCACUUCACUCGUAAAGUAAAUGCAUGUUCGGAUACAACUUUUGAUUACUAAAACUAUUUUUCAAAUGUCAACACAACUUCAAAAACUCAGUUGUUUUUCAAGUUUUAACUGAAUCUGUGAUCGAACGCUAGCAUACCUUAGUUUCUAUUUCAAUGAUGGUGGAGAAUUCUUGGUGAGAGAAACUUGAUUGUAUGGAAUUUGCUUUGGCUCCACAAUUCUUCAAGCACUUGAGAACCUCUAACAUUGAAUCAAUACCAGAAAUUGGAUUAUUAACUUUUGCUUUGAUUUUUGCCAUCUCAAAUUCCUCCUCAUUUUUAUUACUAUCAUUUUCGGCUAAAAUCAUCAUCUCAAGUUCAUCAUUUCUCUUCUUUAAAUUUUCUUUGUAUUUUUGCAACUCUUCAAUUCUUCUUGCUGCUGUUUGGACUAUAGCAUUCUUCUCGACCUGCAAUUAAUCACAUGAGGCUCAUCGGCAACAACAACAUAUUCAGUAUAAUCACGCGCUCAUACAACAACAUGCCAAGUGUUUUCUGAUCAAGUUGAGUCCAAGGAGGAUAGAACAUACGGAGACAACAACAACAACAACUUAUUCAGUAUAAUUACAGGCUCAUACAACAACAUGCCAAGUGUACUCCCACCAAGUGGGUCCAAGGAGGAUAGAAUGUAUGGAGACAACAACAACACAACAACCUGUCAAAUGUAUUCCCACCAAGCGGAGUCUGGAGAGGGCAGAAUAUACUAGACCUGCCUUUACCUCAAAGGUGAGGUAAAGAGAUUGUUUCCGAUAUAUAGACUUUAGGCUCAAGAUAAAAACCAACAAAAAAAAGACAUAAUAAAAGCACGAGAAAUAAUAAACAGUAAAUAAAAAGAACAAAAAAUUCCAAAAUAAUACUAUAAUCGCAAAACGAAACACUAGGUAGUAAUAGAAGUCGAAGAAUAAGAAAACAACCAUAGUAAUCCUGCAACUACUAGUAAGGGCAAGGCGGCUCGUCAUAUUUUAAAAUAAUAUACUCUGUCAUUUUAUGCAACAUAUAUAACAUGAGUUAAAAUUUUAAUUUUCUUUCAAAAGAACUAAUCUAAUGUAUGUUACAUCGAGAACUUGUCAAACUUGAACCUCAAAAAAAUGUUGAACACAUUGCAACGAAAAAAGUGGUCAAAAAGUAUGGCUCUUUUUUUUUUUUGGGUUUAUAUAAAAGUCUAGCGUUUGAGCACCAGGAAUGAAUUUCUUUUUUGGGUAUGAAUUGUGCCAAUUCUGAUAUUGGGUUUUCUACGACAUGAAUUAGGAUCAAUUGAGACAAUGAUUGAGUUCUAGAUAUUGGAUGAUUAGAUUUUUAUCGAGAAAAAAUACAUUGGGACUAAUAUGUAAUGUAUAUCAUAAGACCUUGAAAUUUGAUUCAAGAAAAUGUGGAACACUAUCAAAAAAAAUAAUAUUUUUCAAUAAAAAAUCUAUCAAAAAUAUAUUCAACGAGUCAUGAAUUCCAUUAGAAAUUCGCGUUUUUUAGUAGCAAGACUCAUAGUGCACUAACCUUAGUUCCCAUGGGAAGCAAUUUAUGCAAGGCCGAAUAACUUUUCUUUUGCUUUUCUCUUCUAAUCCUCUCUUUAAUCAUAUGUUUAUGACCUUUUUCUUUUUCUAUUUUCACUUGUCCAUUUUUCGAUAUCCAAUUCUUCUUCAAGAACUCCAUCGCCCUCUUGUUCAUGUUUCGAUGAUUCGUCGAUACAUUUUCACAGCUAUAAACUCCAAAUCCUUCACUUAAUUUGCUCUCAAAGUUCACAAAAGCACUUUGAUUCACCACAAAAUUAUUGUAAGUUUCAUCAUCAUAAAACCAAGAAAUUUGGAAAAACUCUUCCAUGUUAUUUUUUUACAAAGUUGGUUAUUAUAACGACUAUAUAUAUGGUUUUAUAGGUGAGUGAAUGAGGAAAAUUUUUAGCAUAUGGUUUGAUAAAUUCACAUUUAACAUGUGGUCAAAUGGUGUGGUACUUCGUCAUUUAAUUUGUUUUGGAGAAUUCCUUAUAAUUCAAUAAUUGGUCAAAGUCUUCUACGCGUUGGGAAAGUUUUUAGUAGUAAUUUAUUUUAUAUUGUACUAAAAAUCCAAAUCUUUACUUACUCAAAUAGUAUAUAAUACUUCCAACAGGUGUGGCAUUUGGACUCAUUAACUUGACUUUUGGAUGUUAUUUGAUUGAUUUUUUGUAGAGAUAAAGAUAAUUACACAUGCUUCAAUUUAAGGAUUUUUCGUGACAUAUUUUUCUUGUGAUUUUGGAUAUUUUAAUUCCUCUUGGAAAUAUAGAAAAUAUGAUGAAGAAUUUAAAAAGUAUUUAUGUGGCAUCAUAGUUUGACUAGGCAAAAAAAUUAAGAAAAGAAAAAAAAAUUGAAAUUUGUGAGUUAAAAGAAUUUUUGACUUUUAUGUGAUUGUAAGUCAUUUUAUUAAGAAGAAAAAUAUUAAAAUUAAGUUAUUUUUAAUUAUGAAAAAAAAAUAGACAAACUAAAAAAAUAUGCAAAAUAAAUUAGGAUGGAAAGAUGGAAGUAUAAAAUAAAUACGAAAAGAAAACUUAUGCAGUUGGUUUAGACUUGUCUUUUCUAGUUUAUUUUAGAAUACUUUAUUUUGUCAGUGUAGUUAGUUGAAAGAUUCUAAGCAAAAAAGAAAAAAAAAGCUCGUUGAAAGUUAUGAAUUGUAUUAAAUUUCCAUAAGGAUACUCAAGAUUAAUUUAAUGUAGAGAAAAGGGUCAAAAAUAACUCUAUACUUUAAUUAAUUGAUUAUAUUUGUCCCUAAUCAAAUUAUAGGGUCAAAUAUAUUUUUACUGUUAAUAAAGUUUUCAAACAUACCUUUCACUUUAACAUUUUUCCAUCUUGGCAAGUUAAGAGUCAUGUGGCGUUACAUUUUGGGUGAGGUGGAUGUCAUGUGGCGUGCCAACUCAGCAUCCAAUUUUUCUUUUCUUUUUAAUUUUAACCUUUUUUUUUUAUCAACUUUUUAUAAUAUAUUUAAUUUAUUAAUUUUUUUAAAAAGAAUUAAAAUAUGAAAUAAAUUAUUUUGAAAACUAUAACUCUAGAAUUAUAAUCAUCAUGAGUUUAUGCUUCUGCUCCAAUUUGAAAUCAUCGGUUCUCUUAUCUCGGACUCUAAUUUUUCGAUGGAUUCAAACCCGUAUCGGACCUGUUUGCUAUAGAUAGAAGGGGCAGCACACAGAAAUCAUAACAAAGUUAUUAAGGCAGCACGACAUCUCCUAAAACUUGCCACAAGAAGGGAACUGUGCAUUCAUCUAGCAUAAAAAUUUUGAUGUCAAAAUCUGGGAGAUGCAGAUAACUAUUAAGGCAUGCUUUGGCUAAGGUAGUUCGACCAGCAAUGUUUAAGAAGUUUGUUUUCUAUGACAACCCGAGAGCUUUUUCCUAAGGUUAUAUCUAUGACAAAUUCAAAGUCCUUGGCAAUAGCUUUUGUGGAAAAAAUAGGGAAUCCAAGGCAUUUGAGGGGAAAGUCCUUUAUGUCAAAUGAGACAGCCAAAUACAAGUUGCAUUCAUUGUGUGGCUUAAAAUGAGCAAGUACAUAUUUGGCUAAUGAUACCAAUGGGCACCAAAGUUCCUUUCAGCCUCAUUCAAAUAAAGUAUUUUGCACUGCUUUUUCUAUCUCUCCUGCUCCACUCUACCACAAAAUUAACCAUAAAUUAGUCUAUGAUAGAGACAACUAAACAAACAUUAACAAAAAACAAAGAAAAGAAGUAAGAAAGGAACAAGCUAUGACAUUUGCGGCGGUAUUUAAUUGAACACCGAGUUAUCACUCAUGAUCAUCUUAAUGAAGAUAAAAUAAGAAUUUUUAUUUAUUUUAUUCUUUAUUCAGUGUUCAGUGUCCGCAUUGGAGUCUUGAUUAAUUCGAAUCGCUUAUUGUAGAGCCUAUUCUAGGGGUGACGCUCCCAACAGAAUUUUCUUCACACCCAAACUCAAAUCCAAGACUUCUGAUUUAAUAUGAAAUAGUUUCACUCAUGUUCGCGAAAUUUAAUAGUAUUAAAUUAUAGCUAAAGAUUCUUUUUAGGAUAAACAUUAAAAAGGAAAAUGUGUGCAAAAAAGUUGUCUAUUUGUUCAAAUUAUUAUCGAUAAUAUUUUACAAGAAUAAAACAUUAUACUUCUGGCAUAUAUAAGACAAACAAUUUCAUUUACUUCAUCACUCAAAUUAAUGGUCAAAACACAUCAGCAACUUUCGUAGAGCAAUAGGGGUGGAUUUAUGAUUUAAAUAUCAUGAACUUUAAUUCUAGAAUAAUGAUUUUAAAUUUUAGUAAUUGAGUAAUGAGUUUCAACUUUCAUAAAAUAAUAGAGGUAGAUUUAUAAUUUAAAUAUUACGAAUUUUUAACUCUAAAACAAUGACUUAAAUUUUAGUAACUGAAUUUUUAGUUUCAUUUAUAUUCAAUGAAUUGUUUUAUUACACAUACAAGGUUUGAAUGACCCCUAUAGUCAAGCCUAUAUCAACCAAAGUGAAACAAGAAAAAGAGGACAUAUAUUUUGGAAGUACAUUUUCAUAAACAAUUCAAAAAUAUUAUUUGUUCAUGAAAUUUGACCUGUUUUUGAAAAUAUAUCUUCAAAAAUAUUUCAAGUUCCAAAUAUUGGUCCGAACUAAUUACAAGAUGAAAUUUCACUUCACUCGUAAAGUAAAUGCAUGUUCGGAUACAACUUUUGAUUACUAAAACUAUUUUUCAAAUGUCAACACAACUUCAAA